rnacentral:rRNA from 1 species
CGGGUGCACUGAUCCGGCCGGGCCUUUCCCUCUGUGGAACCCCAUGGCCUUCACUGGCUGUGCGGGGGAAACAGGACUUUUACUGUGAAAAAAUUAGAGUGCUCCAGGCAGGCCUAUGCUCGAAUACAUUAGCAUGGAAUAAUAGAAUAGGACGCGUGGUUCUAUUUUGUUGGUUUCUAGGACCGCCGUAAUGAUUAAUAGGGACAGUCGGGGGCAUCAGUAUUCAAUUGUCAGAGGUGAAAUUCUUGGAUCUAUUGAAGACUAACUACUGCGAAAGCAUUUGCCAAGGAUGUUUUCAUUGAUAAGGAACGAAAGUUAGGGGAUCGAAGACGAUCAGAUACCGUCGUAAUCUUAACUAUAAACUAUGCCGACUAGGGAUCGGACGAUGUUAUUUCUUGACGCGUUCGGCACCUUUCGAGAAAUCAAAGUGCUUGGGCUCCAGGGGGAGUAUGGUCGCAAGGCUGAAACUUAAAGAAAUUGACGGAAGGGCACCACCAGGGGUGGAACCUGCGGCUUAAUUUGACUCAACACGGGGAAACUCACCAGGUCCAGACACAAUGAGGAUUGACAGAUUGAGAGCUCUUUCUUGAUUUUGUGGGUGGUGGUGCAUGGCCGUUCUUAGUUGGUGGAGUGAUUUGUCUGCUUAAUUGCGAUAACGAACGAGACCUUAACCUGCUAAAUAGCCCGUACUGCUCUGGCAGUUCGCCGGCUUCUUAGAGGGACUAUCGG